GGCCUCGUAGCUCAUUUGGUUGACCGUUGGCUGUACUAAAGCCUUCCAUUUGCUGGCGUGGGUUCGAAUCCCACCUAGGCUG
rfam:Schistocephalus solidus strain NST_G2 genome assembly, scaffold: SSLN_contig0025809